GACGAACGCUGGCGGCGUGCUUAACACAUGCAAGCCGAACGGAAAGGCCUGCUUUCCCUUGUGGAUUGCGGGUACUCGAGUGGCGAACGGGUGAGUAACACGUGAGUGAUCUGCCCCCAACUUGGGUAUAAGCCUGGGAAACUGGGUCUAAUUCCCGAUAGGACUGCAGGGUGGUGCCUGUGGUGGAAAACGAUUUUCUAGUGGUUGGGGAUGAGCUCGCGGCCUAUCAGCUUGUUGGUGGGGUAAUGGCCUACCAAGGCGGCGACGGGUAGCCGGCCUGAGAGGGUGGACGGCCACAUUGGGACUGAGAUACGGCCCAGACUCCUACGGGAGGCAGCAGUGGGGAAUAUUACACAAUGGGCGGAAGCCUGAUGCAGCGACGCCGCGUGGGGGAUGACGGCCUUCGGGUUGUAAACUCCUUUCGACCGCGAGGAAGCCACCUGGUUGGAAGGGUGGUGACGGUAGUGGUAGAAGAAGCACCGGCUAACUACGUG
rnacentral:rRNA from 1 species